rnacentral:tRNA from 1 species
GAGGGUAUAGCUCAGUGGUACAGCACAUGCGCAGCAUGCAUGAGGUCCUGGGUUCAAUCCCCAGUACCGCCA